AGUGAACGCUGGCGGUAGGCCUAACACAUGCAAGUCGAACGGCAGCACAGUAAGAGCUUGCUCUUACGGGUGGCGAGUGGCGGACGGGUGAGGAAUACAUCGGACUCUACUUUUUCGUGGGGGAUAACGUAGGGAAACUUACGCUAAUACAGCAUACGACCUACGGGGGAGAGCAGGGGAUCUUCGGACCUUGCGCGAUUGAAUGAGCCGAUGUCGGAUUAGCUAGUUGGCGGGGUAAAGGCCCACCAAGGCGACGAUCCGUAGCUGGUCUGAGAGGAGGGUCAGCCACACUGGAACUGAGACACGGUCAAGACGCCUACGGGAGGCAGCAGUGUGGAACAUGGAGCAAUGGGCGCAAGCAUGAUCCAGCGAUCCCGCGUGGGUGAAGAAGGCCUUGGGUUCGUAAAGCCCUUUUGUUGGGAAAGAAAAGCAGCAGGUUGAUACCCAGCGGUUCUGACGGUACCCAAUGAAUAAGCACCGGCUAACUUCGUG
rnacentral:rRNA from 1 species